CCCAGGUACCAACGGAUCCGGCGACAUCCCCAUCGCCAGCCACACAAUCUCCACCGGCGCAGUGGAGCAGCAGCACCACCGUGGCCGUGGACAUGUGAGGGGAUCCCGGGGCUAGUGCGGCCAUGGCCUAGAGCUCGCCCCUUCUCCUGCGUGGGGACGCCAGCUACUGCAGAGCCCAGCUACCAACGGAUCCCGUCGGAUCCCCACCGCCAGGCACGCCACCUCCUGUUGCAGUCCUCCCUCCCUGUUGCAGGCCAGGCGUCCCGGGCUUCAAGUGCGCCGGGGCACGCGAUGCGGUUUGGCGCGCGUGGCCAUGCAGGUGCAUCACCCCCCGCUCCCAACAACCACGAGCAGCAGCGCGUAUGGCAGUGGACACAACCGAGUACCCUUCUCCCCUGCUCCCUUCCCCAGCCAACAUCCAUCGAGGUGUCUGUAAUGUCGUGACGAUGAGUUCAUUCUCUGUUGGCAAGGUAAUGCAUUUUUCAGUAUGGUGUGCAGUUCCAUCAGUGUGGUCGUGCAGCACGCGGGUGUGGGUUUGCAAUCUGGUGCCCAUCUACGUGCAGCCCACGAGGAGGCGACUGGUACUAAAGAUGCUACAUCCAUGAUAGUGAACUGCGGUCAUCCCGAGCCUGCCGCCGAGGAGCCGGCGAGCGUCCCCGCGGCACCACCGCCUACCUGAACCUCGAACCGGGCGACUGCUACGGGGACAGCACCGCCGUCUCCUCCCUCGUGCAAGAAGAGGAUGAGGAUCUCCACACCUGCCCCCAUGUAGUUCACUCGACGCGCCCGUGUGGUGCGGAGCGCAUCUGCGUGCAGUACGCCCGCCAACCAACUCCACAAUGCCCACAGUCCACCCCGUGGUCCAAUGCAAUCCGACGACUCGAUGCAUGCAGCUUGCAUGGUGCGUGUGUGCAGUUUUCAGGCUCGCAGGUGUGUGGUUCUACCAACAACCAACUCCACCGCGGCCCAGCACUCACGCCGUGGAGCUCCUUGUAAUGCCCUGGAUUCGAUGCGCCAGGUGUCCGCCAGUUAUUCGUCGUCAUUGCCAUGUCAUUUGAUUGCGUGUU